rnacentral:rRNA from 1 species
AGAGUUUGAUCAUGGCUCAGAAUCAACGCUGGCGGCGCGCUUAACACAUGCAAGUCGAACGAGAAAGGGAGCAAUCCUGAGUAAAGUGGCGCACGGGUGAGUAACACGUGGGUAAUCUACCCUCUGGUGGGGAAUAACUCUGGGAAACCGGAGCUAAUACCGCAUAAGACCGGAAGGUGAAAGGCGCAAGUCGCCGGAGGAGGAGCCCGCGGCCGAUUAGCUGGAUGGUAGGGUAAUGGCCUACCAUGGCUGAGAUCGGUAGCCGGCCUGAGAGGGCACACGGCCACACUGGCACUGAAACACGGGCCAGACUCCUACGGGAGGCAGCAGUGGGGAAUCUUGCACAAUGGGGGAAACCCUGAUGCAGCGACGCCGCGUGAGCGAUGAAGCCCUUCGGGGUGUAAAGCUCUUUCGGCAGGGACGAUAAUGACGGUACCUGCAGAAGAAGCUGCGGCUAACUACGUGCCAGCAGCCGCGGUAAUACGUAGGCAGCGAGCGUUGUUCGGAGUUACUGGGCGUAAAGAGUGCGUAGGCGGUGCUCCAAGUCUGGUGUGAAAUCUCCCGGCUUAACCGGGAGGGUGCGCCGGAAACUGGGGUGCUGG